rnacentral:rRNA from 3 species
UACGGAGGGUGCAAGCGUUGUCCGGAUUUAUUGGGUUUAAAGGGUGCGUAGGCGGCCCGUUAAGUCAGUGGUGAAAGCCUCCAGCUCAACUGGAGAACUGCCAUUGAUACUGACGGGCUUGAGUACAGACGAGGUUGGCGGAAUUGAUUGUGUAGCGGUGAAAUGCAUAGAUACAAUCAAGAACACCGAUUGCGUAGGCAGCUAACUAGGCUGUAACUGACGCUGAGGCACGAAAGCGUGGGGAGCGAACAGG